AAUCAGAAGGUGCGAAAGUCAACAGUCACAGUAUAUAUGUGACAUCAUCUCCCGGAGCUCCAUAGAAACACGAAGCAUUUCUCGGUUUUGACCGUUUUUUACUCAUUUCUCGGGUUUUUUCGAUGUAUCUUGUACUUUGUGUUUGUGGAGGAAUCAUAAUAAAGUUAUUGAGUCCAUAACCACAUUUUUUUUAUAUUCAACACCGUGAUAGAAAUGGGAAGCUGCAGGCGAUGAUUUAUAAGCAAGGUGGCCAUAUUGGAUUAUUGGUUGUGAGGCAGAGGGCACAACUAGCGCAACUGUGCAUUUCACUGGCAUGCGUGGUUUCAAAAAAAAAAAAAACCCUGGCUGUUCAGGCUAGGGAAGGGAAAAAAAAAAAAAAACCCUGGCUUUCCCUAGCUUGAACAGCUAGGGAAAGGGAAAAAAAGCCCUGGCUGUUCAGGCUAGGGAAAGGGGAAAAAAAAAAAAAAAAAAAAAAACCCUGGCUGUUCAGGCUAGGGAAAAAAAAACAAACAAAAAAAAAAACAGUGAAAGUUCCUCUGCCUCUCAACAAUUUUGUCCAUAUCCUGACAAUCAAAUCUCCCUUCUCCAUUUCUCUCCAUUUUUAACUGUUCAAAAAUUCCUCCGCCUCCUGCCGGCUCGACCAAUCAGAUGGCAAGGCAUCUACGCAUGUGCAGACAACAACGGGAAACUCCGUCAAGGCAUCUUUCACGACGGGGACCAGUUUAGGCUGUGGCUGAAGGCGCUGAACCUCAAGUGCCCACCUAAGCGCCCGUAUGUGUGCUCGUUUGAUUUCGUGGACGGGAAGCCGACAGAUGAGUACCCUUACCCCGAGAAAUGGCUCGGCUAUGAUGCUCCAGUAAAGAAGCCCCUGCUCUGAAGAGGUUCUCAGAUAUGGAUGCAUCAGUGAGAGUCAGCGAAGCAGUGGACAACUGCGAGGAGGACCAGAUUGCCAUGCCCACACGCUGCGAUGUGGAAACUCAGUGGGAGGAUCUGCACGUCUCUGACCACAGCUAUGGUUUAAAAGCAUCGCUCCACCUGAAGCCACUGACAUACGAUAUCGGAACACGGUGCGCUGAGCCAGCUGCGUUGUAGAGAUCAAAGAGAUCGUCGUGGACUUCAGGAGAGGCCGACAGCAGCACCUCCCACUGACCAUCAACGGCGCUGCUGUGGAGAGGGUAAGCAGUACCAAGUUCCUGGGACUGCACAUCUCUGAUGACCUCUCCUGGACAAACAACACUGCAUCGCUGGCCAAGAAGGCUCAAAAACGGCUCUACUUCCUCCGUAAACUGAAAAAAGCACAAGUCCCACCCCCCAUCAUGUUCUCCUUUUACAGAGGCACCAUCGAGAGCGUCCUCACUGGCUGCGUCGCUGUGUGAUUUGGCGGCUGUACUGCCUCCUGCCAAAAGACUCUGCAGCGCAUAGUGAACACAGCCAGCAAGAUCAUUGGUGUUCCUCUGCUCAGAUAUUAACUUUAUUAACUCUGUGGAUUAAUAACAGCAUUGAGAUAUUUUUUUACCUAUUUAAAGCUUCAAAGAUAACUCUGCUCAUCUUGCUGUUGUUUAGGUUCUGUGAAAAGGUGUUUUAUGGACCUCAGUCUGUGCAAGAGCGAUGGAUCACACACCUGCAGGAGCACAUCCUGUCUCUGGGCUACAAAGGCAAACCGUCUCUCCCCCAUGGCACCAGUGGCAGCUCCAGCUCUCCACCCAGUUGCUGUCUAGUCUACAAGACCCAUCUGUUAUUCAGACUCUGAAAGAUGUUAUCUUUAUGUCGGUGUUAUGUGUUAUGUUGUCAGACAAGCAAAACUAAUCACUAGGUGUUCCCCUUUUGUCCUGAAGAGGGCAAACAUGAGUCAUGCAAGAAAAGCAGCAGGUUUUUAUUCACUCAGGUAAAAUCCACCAGCAACAAUAGAUCACAAUACUGGUCACUUG